rnacentral:rRNA from 1 species
GAGAAGCUUGCUUCUCUGAUGUUAGCGGCGGACGGGUGAGUAACACGUGGAUAACCUACCUAUAAGACUGGGAUAACUUCGGGAAACCGGAGCUAAUACCGGAUAAUAUUUUGAACCGCAUGGUUCAAAAGUGAAAGACGGUCUUGCUGUCACUUAUAGAUGGAUCCGCGCUGCAUUAGCUAGUUGGUAAGGUAACGGCUUACCAAGGCAACGAUGCAUAGCCGACCUGAGAGGGUGAUCGGCCACACUGGAACUGAGACACGGUCCAGACUCCUACGGGAGGCAGCAGUAGGGAAUCUUCCGCAAUGGGCGAAAGCCUGACGGAGCAACGCCGCGUGAGUGAUGAAGGUCUUCGGAUCGUAAAACUCUGUUAUUAGGGAAGAACAUAUGUGUAAGUAACUGUGCACAUCUUGACGGUACCUAAUCAGAAAGCCACGGCUAACUACGUGCCAGCAGCCGCGGUAAUACGUAGGUGGCAAGCGUUAUCCGGAAUUAUUGGGCGUAAAGCGCGCGUAGGCGGUUUUUUAAGUCUGAUGUGAAAGCCCACGGCUCAACCGUGGAGGGUCAUUGGAAACUGGAAAACUUGAGUGCAGAAGAGGAAAGUGGAAUUCCAUGUGUAGCGGUGAAAUGCGCAGAGAUAUGGAGGAACACCAGUGGCGAAGGCGACUUUCUGG